GGUCCUUUUCUACCCAGGACAUUCUAUGAAAGGUGGAGGAGGUGCUUACCUGGCCACGAGAGCAGGAGGACCUGCAUGUGCCUCCCCACUGGGCUGCAGGUGGACCCUGGUGUUCCAAGGACACAACAGUGUGCUAAAAAGGGGUCUCACGGCUUCACAGUCCCCACAGCUGCUGGCAUAAUUGGCUCAUGUGGUGCCCGAUAAGGAAGCCCACCAGGGCUGCAGUGCAGUGGGCAGGAGCUGCUGGCAAUGGACGUGAACUGGAGCAAAGCAUUGCAGCAGACAUCUCACCCCUCUCCUCCUCUCUAUACUGAAGACCGGUGCUACCUCUGAAAAAAACAGAAAGAAAGAAAGAAAGAAAGCAUGCAUGCUGAUCACUGCUACAAUGAUUAAACCCAGGAACUGUUUGAAUGUUUAUAUUGAUGCAGCUGGGACCGCAAGCAAAAUAAACCCGGUAAAAUAAUAGCCAGUGGACAGUCAGAGACCAUGGCGAACCUAUUGAUUGCAACAGGGUCUCUUUUCUGUGCAGCAGAAUGAUCUCAGAAGAGCUGAGCUUCGGGUAAUUUCUAGCAAACAAUGUAUUGUGCACCAUUAUUUGUGGAUCCUGCAAAUCGAACCAGCGUGCCCAGGUCUCUCCCAUGUGCACGUGCUUCAGAGAAGGCUCUGCUAAGAGGGAGCCCAGCAUCACCAAGCACGCUGCUUUGCAAUCGGGUGUAUUGCAGAGCCGAACAGUCCCCCCACAGCCACCCACUGCCCCACAGGUGCCUCCUCCUGCCCCACGCUGAGCUGUGCUGUGGCUGUGGCCAUCCCUGCACUCCUCCUGACGGAUCACCGCCUGGCUGAGUUUAGAGAGCAGCACUGCAAUAUAUUAUGCUUCAUACCCUGCAAUAUUCUCUGAACGCAUCCAGCGAGUUCCCCGGGUCAAUUGCAGCUGAUCCAGUUUGCAGCAAUUGCCAGAAGAGCCAGCUGAUGGAUGUCGGUGGGUUUGUGCUGAGCCCCACCCUGCGCUCGCCUGUGGAUGUGCUGGAAGCCAGCAGGGCACUGUCUGGAUGCUGCUCCGGCUCUGCAGCUCAGACCACUGUACAGUUUGCUGCACACUGAUUGCUGGCCCCUUCUGACCUUUCAUGUAGAAGUGCAGUGAAAGAAGCCCCUGGUUCUGACUGGGAAGACGAAGGUGCUGCACAGACGUGUGCCUGGCCAACCUGACAGCCCCGGAGGUCCUGGUGGGGCUGGUGGCACACACGUGCACAUACAUGCAUUCAAAAAGUUGGCGUGGAGGAGACCGCACGAAUUUACAGCAACGAGAAGAGCGGGUGAUAAAACACGGCGUGAAAACCCAGGUAUUGUGGCAUCAGCAGAAAGAGGAGGCACAAAUCAGGGGUCCACACCAAUUUACAUUCCCUGUGUCAGUAGAGGAAGAAGGCUCUGAAGUUUUACAGUUAAUUUGUGUACUUUACCACAGGUGCUGUGGGAAGUAUAAAACAGC